AUGAAGACUUUUUUGGUAACUUUGGCUGUGCUGCUGCUCUUCCUCCAAGUCAUUCCAGGCAGGAUUGAAACAUGUUGGAAUUUUCGUGGCUCCUGCCGUGACGAAUGCCUGAAGAAUGAAAGGGUCUAUGUUUUCUGCGUGAGUGGUAAACUGUGCUGUUUGAAGCCCAAGGACCAGCCACAUUUACCACAGCAUAUAAAGAAUUAGUGCUUUAAAGUCUGAGGCCACAAAAAUGAAGAUAAACUUGCCUUAAGUCUGAUGUCAGUAGAUUCCUGGGCUUUAUUAAAACAUCUUUGGC
rnacentral:lncRNA from 1 species